UAUUUAAGGUCCCCAGGCUCUGCUUUGCAGGCGGGCGGUACUUUCCGUCAAGAAACAUCGGGAGCUCGGACACGGUCCAUACUUUUGGACUGGUCUUGGGG
rnacentral:sRNA from 19 species